ACGGGGUGCAGCAGGCGCGAAAACUUUACAAUGCGAGCAAUCGUGAUAAGGGAACUCCGAGUGCCUGUAAAAUCAGGCUGUCCGCCAGUGUAAAUAACUGGUGAAGAAAGGGCCGGGCAAGACCGGUGCCAGCCGCCGCGGUAAUACCGGCGGCUCGAGUGGUGGCCACUAUUACUGGGCUUAAAGCGUUCGUAGCUGGUCUGUUAAGUCUCUGGGGAAAUCUUCCGGCUUAACCGGAAGGCGUCUCAGGGAUACUGGCAGACUAGGGACCGGAAGAGGUGAGAGGUACUCCAGGGGUAGGAGUGAAAUCCUGUAAUCCUUGGGGGACCACCUGUGGCGAAGGCGUCUCACCAGGACGGCUCCGACAGUGAGGAACGAAAGCUGGGGGAGCAAACCGGAUUAGAUACCUGGGUAGUCCCAGCUGUAAACGAUGCGCGUUAGGUGUAUCGGUGACCACGAGUCACCGGGGUGCCGAAGAGAAAUCGUGAAACGCGCCGCCUGGGAAGUACGGUCGCAAGGCUGAAACUUAAAGGAAUUGGCGGGGGAGCAC
rnacentral:rRNA from 1 species